rnacentral:rRNA from 1 species
GAUGAACGCUGGCGGCGUGCCUAAUACAUGCAAGUCGAGCGAACAGAUAAGGAGCUUGCUCCUUUGACGUUAGCGGCGGACGGGUGAGUAACACGUGGGUAACCUACCUAUAAGACUGGGAUAACUUCGGGAAACCGGAGCUAAUACCGGAUAAUAUUUCGAACCGCAUGGUUCGAUAGUGAAAGAUGGUUUUGCUAUCACUCAUAGAUGGACCCGCGCCGUAUUAGCUAGUUGGUAAGGUAACGGCUUACCAAGGCGACGAUACGUAGCCGACCUGAGAGGGUGAUCGGCCACACUGGAACUGAGACACGGUCCAGACUCCUACGGGAGGCAGCAGUAGGGAAUCUUCCGCAAUGGGCGAAAGCCUGACGGAGCAACGCCGCGUGAGUGAUGAAGGUCUUCGGAUCGUAAAACUCUGUUAUUAGGGAAGAACAUACGUGUAAGUAACUGUGCACGUCUUGACGGUACCUAAUCAGAAAGCCACGGCUAACUACGUG